rnacentral:rRNA from 1 species
AUUGAACGCUGGCGGCAUGCCUUACACAUGCAAGUCGAACGGCAGCACGGGGCAACCUGGUGGCGAGUGGCGAACGGGUGAGUAAUGCAUCGGAACGUACCUUUCAGUGGGGGAUAACGUAGCGAAAGUUACGCUAAUACCGCAUAUUCUGUGAGCAGGAAAGCAGGGGAUCGCAAGACCUUGCUCUGAUUUAGCGGCCGAUGUCAGAUUAGCUAGUUGGUGAGGUAAAGGCUCACCAAGGCGACGAUCUGUAGCGGGUCUGAGAGGAUGAUCAGCCACACUGGAACUGAGACACGGUCCAGACUCCUACGGGAGGCAGCAGUGGGGAAUUUUGGACAAUGGGGGCAACCCUGAUCCAGCCAUGCCGCGUGAGUGAAGAAGGCCUUCGGGUUGUAAAGCUCUUUCGGCCGGGAAGAAAUCGCACGGGCUAAUACCCUGUGUGGAUGACGGUACCGGAAUAAGAAGCACCGGCUAACUACGUGCCAGCCGCCGCAGUAA